UACGUAGGGUGCAAGCGUUGUCCGGAAUUAUUGGGCGUAAAGAGCUCGUAGGCGGUUUGUUGCGUCGGCUGUGAAAUCCCGAGGCUCAACCUCGGGUCUGCAGUCGAUACGAGCAAACUAGAGUGUUGCAGGGGAGACUGGAAUUCCUGGUGUAGCGGUGAAAUGCGCAGAUAUCAGGAGGAACACCGGUGGCGAAGGCGGGUCUCUGGGCAGUUGCUGACACUGAUGCGCGACAGCGUGGGGAGCAAACAGG
rnacentral:rRNA from 1 species